rnacentral:rRNA from 1 species
GAUUCACCCGCAACCGAACACGGCCUCAGGGUGCAGCCGCAGCCGUGCGGGCUCGUCCUCACCAGCAUCCGCGACAGGUUCUCCAAGGACAGCGACGACAGGUUCAUCACCGUGCACCACCGCCGCACCGAUCACGGCUCUGCACCCCGACUAUUUCUCCUCCUCAUCGCUGCUGCCGCCCCGCCCGAAGCACACGAAGAGGACCCCGCCCCUCCAAGUUGUCGCUGUCAACCAAGGCCCGCCCUACACAGCGUCGGCUUCAAGGCCGAAAAGAAUCCCUGUCAGAGACAAUCUCCGCGUUGCUACCGGAGUAUCCUCCCAGGCCGGAAAGAAAGGCAUCUCCGGGUUCCAACGGUUGGUAUGAUUUCCAUGAACCGACCAGAGCCAAUCCCGAGAGCGACGCGGGAAGCUACCUUCUCUGGAAUGGAGACUGGGAAGGGAGAGGAGGAGCAGAGCACCACGGUCGCUGCCUCACCGACACACGCAUUAUUAAACCCAUUCAUCGUCGCGCAAACGGCGCUCGCUCGCGCGUGCCACGUUGGCAAAGAUUUGUCAGUUGUUCCCUUUGUAAUGAUGAAUAUAUUCGUGAUGGCUGCAAAAAAAUACCUGCAAUGGCUUCUACUGCAACUCCUUCGGCCCCAACUCCAACAGCAAGCCUACCAUGUGGACCGAGGCCUGGCCUGGAUGAAUCUGCACGGCAAACAUGUCACGACAUUGCUGACACGAUCAAAUAUGUCGAUUGAUGUAAGGUUCACGGCAUUUGGUGUCGCGGUGCCGCACCGGCUGGUGGAGGACAUGUCGUUCGUGGUGGUAAGUACCAUGGACCGGACCGCCGAUGGCAUGUUCAUCGCGGCAAGCUACGACCAUGAUGCACCGAUUGACGAAUAUGGUCUGCUUAGGCAGCUGAACUGGGGACACCAGAGGAACCUGCACAAGGCCAUCUAG